rnacentral:rRNA from 1 species
AUUGAACGCUGGCGGCAGGCCUAACACAUGCAAGUCGAACGGUAGCACAGAGAGCUUGCUCUCGGGUGACGAGUGGCGGACGGGUGAGUAACGUCUGGGAAACUGCCCGAUGGAGGGGGAUAACUACUGGAAACGGUAGCUAAUACCGCCUAACGUCGCAAGACCAAAGUGGGGGACCUUCGGGCCUCACACCAGCGGAUGUGCCCAGAUGGGAUUAGCUAGUAGGUGGGGUAAUGGCUCACCUAGGCGACGAUCCCUAGCUGGUCUGAGAGGAUGACCAGCCACACUGGAACUGAGACACGGUCCAGACUCCUACGGGAGGCAGCAGUGGGGAAUAUUGCACAAUGGGCGCAAGCCUGAUGCAGCCAUGCCGCGUGUAUGAAGAAGGCCUUCGGGUUGUAAAGUACUUUCAGCGGGGAGGAAGGCGGUGAAGUUAAUAGCUUCACCGAUUGACGUUACCCGCAGAAGAAGCACCGGCUAACUCCGUGCCAGCCGCCGCCGUAA